rnacentral:rRNA from 1 species
UGGCUCAGGAUGAACGCUGGCGGCGUGCCUAAUACAUGCAAGUCGAGCGAACAGACGAGGAGCUUGCUCCUCUGACGUUAGCGGCGGACGGGUGAGUAACACGUGGGUAACCUACCUAUAAGACUGGAAUAACUCCGGGAAACCGGGGCUAAUGCCGGAUAAUAUGCGGAACCGCAUGGUUCCGCAAUGAAAGACGGUUUUGCUGUCACUUAUAGAUGGACCCGCGCCGUAUUAGCUAGUUGGUAAGGUAACGGCUUACCAAGGCAACGAUACGUAGCCGACCUGAGAGGGUGAUCGGCCACACUGGAACUGAGACACGGUCCAGACUCCUACGGGAGGCAGCAGUAGGGAAUCUUCCGCAAUGGGCGAAAGCCUGACGGAGCAACGCCGCGUGAGUGAUGAAGGUCUUCGGAUCGUNAAANUCUGUUAUUAGGGAAGAACAAGUGCGUAGGUAACUAUGCGCACCUGACG